rnacentral:lncRNA from 1 species
GCAAGAAAGAAAAGAAUGAGCCCAGACCAGGCAAGACAAACAGAAAGCCCCAAAAGAGGUGGCAAAUUUAAAAGCAAAUAGAUCAAUAAGAUCAUUAAAAUGUGCCUGAACCAUUUUCUCUAAGCACAUGAAAAAAAAAAUUCAACUAAAUGAACUAAAAAUAAUCAAAAACCGAACUAUUUUGCUCUUUUAUUAAUUAAUUCAUUGGUUUGUCUCUAUUUGUUUUUGUAGCACUGGGGAUCAAACACAGAGCCUUGCACACACCAAGCUAAGCAAGCCUCUACCACUGAGCUACAUCCUCAGCCCUAUGUGGCUUCAAACACUUCUUGAAAAUAAGGGCUCCAGAAGGUUGAAAGCUGAAGGAUUGGGAAAGCUAUACCAUGCAAACACUAACCAAAGGGAAGCUAGUUUAGUGAUCCUAAUAUCAGACAAGCAAACAAUAAUACAAGAGUGAUUUGUCUUUUUACUAUGGUAAAUUUAAUAAUGAAUGUAUAAUGGUAAAAGGGUUAAUCAAUCUGUACAUAAUAUCUUAAACAAAAUAGAUUAAGCAAAACCUGACAAAACUCAAAUGAGAAAUUAAAAAGUCCACAUUUAUAGUUGGAAAUAUGAGCACAACUCUUUCAAGAAUAGAGACAAAAAUGUCAAUAAGAAGACUUAUCUUUAUGUUCAAUACAUUCCCAACAAAGAUGUGGAUACUGCACUCAGUGGCUGCAGAGUAAACAAUUCCUUUCAAGAAGACAAGGAAUCCUGACCAGAACCAAGCUCCUACACUGGGUUAGAAAGUAGCUCUCAACAAAUUUCAAACAGAAUAUGUAUUCUGAUAAUCACGAUGAAGCUAAAAUCAUUAACAAAUUUGUGAUUUUAAAAUAGCCAAAUGUUUUGAAAUUCUAAAAAGAACACAGUCA